ensembl:lncRNA
AUCUUCCAGAAUCAACCUACUUUCUGUUCUAUAUAUAAGUGGUGUACUGAUUGUAACGGUCUCUUUGCCUGCAGUUCCGUACGAACCAGCGGAGGAGCCGUAUUUACGCUGUUCUAGAUAUCUUCACUCUGAAUAAACUGUCGCUUGUCAUACAAUUUACCACCUUGUCUGAAUCGAUCCUUGACCGACUCGCCCGUCUACAUAUCUAAUUUCUAACAGAACUUGGUAGGCAGAGGAUAGUUUACUAACGAUCCAGUCGAAGUGAGUUGAUUUGGGUGUGAGAGGGCGAGUUGGUGAAAGGACGGUUCACGGAGGACGGGUGAAGACUUUCGGGGGAGGACAACAAUUCUGCUCAACUCGGAAAACUGAUCUCAAGGUGCACCAUAAAAAAGAUACACAAAGUCCAUGAGGGGGAGCUGACGGGAGAUCCGGAGCAACUGAGGGUAAAGGUCCACAAGAGAAAGUGGCAGGAUCCCAGGUGGACUGGACCGUACGAAGUGAAGGAGGUUACUUCACACUCGGUCCAGGUCAAAGGUAAAUCAGGGGCGCCUUGGCACCACUUGACUCAUUGUGCACCAGCUUCGAUACCCAAUAGAACACUGACAGAGGUCAGGGUCGACUUGAGCGACUUGAAUUCGGCUCCAAUACAACCCGAUUAGCAGGUGACGAUGUGGACCAGACUCCCAUCAGCAUCGGCUAAUAGGCCUCCUAGAGACAGGGGUUAUCCCUGGACUAGACUGGGCAUAUCUGGCCCCGGUUUAUUUGUGUGUUUGUAAAUGCAUAUGUCUACUGAAUGAUAUAUUGAACGAAUGUUUAGACAAUGUUUUAGAUGUGUUGACUAUAUUGAGUGAAUGUUCAAACGAUGUUUUAGAUGUGCUCUGGCGUAAAUGAAGAUUUGUGAGACUCAAAUCGUGUGCAUGAAAUAUGCUUGAUAUUCAGUCGGGGACUAAUAUCGGUAUGAAUGAGGUCGGGGACCAAGCGAGUGUGGUACAUUAGGUAUUUCAGUUGGAGCUGGUACCGGUGAGUGUUGAAAAAGUCGCAGGCUUGCUGAUGAGAGUUAUAUCAUAGAAUAUUGAGGGGGUGUGCAUGACUGUUGGAAAAAGUGUUCAACUCUAUUAACGUGAAAUUCUUUUUGUAGAUUUGGGGAGACAAUUUGGAGAAACACGAAUAAGACAUGAAACAUCGAGACAAAUUAUUUGAGUUUGAGGGGAUUAUCAUAAUUAUUAGGUUUUGUUUAUGUAGUACAUGUUUGGGUUAAGGGGAUUUCCAUGUUCCCAGAGACAUGAUAUUUUAAAGAGGCACGCUCACAUAUGGAACCUUUAUGAGUUUUUAUUUUAUGAGUUUUAAUUACACAAGUGAUUUUUAUUUUA